rnacentral:rRNA from 1 species
AAUGAACGCUGGCGGCAUGCCUAACACAUGCAAGUCGAACGAAGGCUUCGGCCUUAGUGGCGCACGGGUGCGUAACGCGUGGGAAUCUGCCCCUUGGUUCGGAAUAACAGUUAGAAAUGACUGCUAAUACCGGAUGAUGACGUAAGUCCAAAGAUUUAUCGCCGAGGGAUGGGCCCGCGUAGGAUUAGCUAGUUGGUGUGGUAAGAGCGCACCAAGGCGACGAUCCUUAGCUGGUCUGAGAGGAUGAUCAGCCACACUGGGACUGAGACACGGCCCAGACUCCUACGGGAGGCAGCAGUGGGGAAUAUUGGACAAUGGGCAAAAGCCUGAUCCAGCAAUGCCGCGUGAGUGAUGAAGGCCUUAGGGUUGUAAAGCUCUUUUACCCGGGAUGAUAAUGACAGUACCGGGAGAAUAAGCUCCGGCUAACUCCGUGCCAGCCGCCGCGGUAA